rnacentral:tRNA from 1 species
GCAUGGGUAGCUCAGUUGGUAGAGCAAUUGCCUUCGAAAGGCAAAGGUCCCGAGUUCGAGUCUCGGUCGGGCA